rnacentral:rRNA from 1 species
CUGACGAGUGGCGGACGGGUGAAUAAUGUCGGGGAAACUGCCUGAUGAAGGGGGAUAACUACUGAAACCGGUACCUAAUACCGCAUAACGUCGCAAGACCAAGGAGGGGGACCUUCGGGCCUCUUGCCAUCUGAUGUGCCCAUAUGGGAUUAGCUAGUAGGUGGGGUAACGGCUCACCUAGGCGACAAUCCCUAGCUGGUCUGAGAGGAUGACCAGCCACACUGGAACUGAGACACGGUCCCACUCCUACGGGAGGCAGGGUGGGGAAUAUUGCACAAUGGGCGCAAGCCUGAUGCUCCCAUGCCGCGUGUAUGAAUAAGGCCUUCGGGUUGUAAAGUACUUUCAGCGGGGAGGAAGGUGUUAAGGUUAAUAACCUUAUCAAUUGACGUUACCCGCAGAACAAGCACCGGCUAACUCCGUGCCAGCAGCCGCGGUAAUACGGAGGGUGCAAGCGUUAAUCGGAAUUACUGGACUUAAAGCGCACGCAGGCGGUCUGUCAAGUCUGAUGUGAAAUCCCCGGGCUCAACCUGGGAACUGCAUUCGAAUCUGGCAGGCUAGAGUCUUGUAGAGGGGGAUAGAAUUCCAGGUGUAGCGGUGAAAUGCGUAGAGAUCUGGAAGAAUACCGGGUGACGAAGGCGGCCCCCUGGACAUGACUGAC